rnacentral:rRNA from 1 species
CGCUGGCGGCAGGCCUAACACAUGCAAGUCGAGCGGUAGAGAGGUGCUUGCACCUCUUGAGAGCGGCGGACGGGUGAGUAAUGCCUAGGAAUCUGCCUGGUAGUGGGGGAUAACGCUCGGAAACGGACGCUAAUACCGCAUACGUCCUACGGGAGAAAGCAGGGGACCUUCGGGCCUUGCGCUAUCAGAUGAGCCUAGGUCGGAUUAGCUAGUUGGUGGGGUAAUGGCUCACCAAGGCGACGAUCCGUAACUGGUCUGAGAGGAUGAUCAGUCACACUGGAACUGAGACACGGUCCAGACUCCUACGGGAGGCAGCAGUGGGGAAUAUUGGACAAUGGGCGAAAGCCUGAUCCAGCCAUGCCGCGUGUGUGAAGAAGGUCUUCGGAUUGUAAAGCACUUUAAGUUGGGAGGAAGGGCAUUAACCUAAUACGUUAGUGUUUUGACGUUACCGACAGAAUAAGCACCGGCU